CUCUCUCUCUCUCUCUCUCUCUCUCUCUCUCUCUCUCUCUGGUUGUCAUUUUUCCUUCAGUUUUAUUUGUGUUUAACUUUGUAGAUAAACACUCAGAAAUUCUCUCUCUCUCUCUCUCUCUCUCUCUCUCUCUCUCUCUCUCUCUCUCUCUCUCUCUCUCUCUCUCUCUCUCUCUCUCUCUCUCUCUCUCUCUCUCUCUCUCUCUCUCUCUCUCUCUUGCAUUCAGCAUGAGUCACGUUAGUUAUGGGAGGGAGGGAGAGGAAGAGGAAGAGGGGAAGGAGGAAGGGAUGAGGAGAAAGAAGGAAGGAGGGAAGAGAGGCAGGGAGGGAAGGAAAGAAAAGGGAUGGGGGAGAAAGGAAAAAAUAGAGGAGGGAAACAAGAUAAUAAGAAAAAAAGGGGAGGGAAGGGGAGAAGGGGAAAAGAAAAUAGGGAGGGGGAGGGAAGUAAGAAAGGGGAAUGGGAAAGAAGAGAGGAGGGGGAGGGAGAGAGGGAGGGAAGAGAAGAGGAAACAGCAAAGAAAGGGGAAGAGAAAGGAAGGAGGGGAAGGAAGGGAAAGAGGAGGACAGAGAGAGAGAGAGAGGGGGGAGGUACUGGUGAGGGAUAAGAGAGAGGGGAGAAAUGGAGGAAAACGAGAAUGUUAGGAAAAUAUAUUUGUAUCGAUGAGGGGAGGAGGAGGAGGAGGGAAGAGAGAGGGAGAGGGAGAGAGGAAUGAAGGUGAGGGGAAGGGAUUUAUUCGUGAGGGGAAUUGCAGCUACUGAACAUGACAUGAGGGGAAGAAUGAAAAGGGUUGAAGAGAGAGAGAGAGAGAGAGAGAGAGAGAGGAUGGAAGGUGAAGAGGGGAGAGAGAUAGUGAGGAAGGAAGAAAGUGAAGAGGUAGAGAGAAACGAAGAAGGAAAGAAAAGAAAAGAUUGAAGAGAAAAUUAUAUAAAGUGAAGAGGGAAAGAAUGGAAGAGAGGAAGAAUAGAGAAGAUUGAUUAUAAAGUAAAGAGAAGGAAAAAAGUGAAGAGGGAAGGAGAAAGAGGAACAAUUAAGAGCAGACUGAGUAGAAUGCGACAGGAAGAAGGAAAGUGAAGAGGAGAAUAGAGAAGUAAGAGGGGAAGUGAAGAGGGAAAGAUGGAACGAGAGAGAGAGAGAGAGAGAGAGAGAGAGAGAGAGAGAGAGAGAGAGAGAGAGAGAGAGAGAGAGAGAGAGAGAGAGCCUACUUAGGUAAAUGUCACGAAUAGAGGGGAGAGAGAGAGAGAGAGAGAGAGAGAGAGAGAGAGAGAGAGAGAGAGAGAGAGAGAGAGAGAGAGAGAGUAAGGGAGAUGGAAGCAAAGGUUAGACUUAAGGGCAGAGUGGAGAGAGAGAGAGAGAGAGAGAGAGAGAGAGAGAGAGAGAGAGAGAGAGAGAGAGAGAGAGAGAGAGAGAGAGAGUAGCAGUAGGAAUAAGUGGAAGGUUAUUGUUUAUUUAUCUGUUUUAGAGUGUUCGGUUCGGUUUAGUGUAUGUCAAAUUGAUUUCUUCGUGACAGGCAAGAGUAACUAACAGGAGAGGUGAGGGUGCUGUAGUGGGCUAAUUAUUGUGCUCAGAUGUGUGUGUGUGUGUGUGUGUGUGUGUGUGUGUGUGUGUGUGUGUGUGUGUGUGUGUGUGUGUGUGUGUGUGUGUGUGUUGGGGAAGUUUUUAAAUACCAAAUGAAUGUUCGUGUUUAUUUACAUUCAUAAUUUCUCUCUCUCUCUCUCUCUCUCUCUCUCUCUCUCUCUCUCUCUCUCUCUCUCUCUCUCUCUCUCUCUCUCUCUCUCUCUCUCUCUCUCUC